GUAGGGAGCAAGCGUUGUUCGGAACUAUUGGGCGUAAAGAGCGCGUAGGCGGCCAGGUAAGGUCUGAUGUGAAAUCCCACAGCUCAACUGUGGAACUGCAUUGGAAACUGCUUGGCUAGAGUGCGGGAGAGGAGAGUGGAAUUCCCAGUGUAGAGGUGAAAUUCGUAGAUAUUGGGAGGAACACCAGUGGCGAAGGCGGCUCUCUGGACCGCAACUGACGCUGAGGCGCGAAAGCUAGGGGAGCGAACGGGAUUAGAUACCCCGGUAGUCCUAGCCGUAAACGAUGGGCACUAGGUGUGGGAGGUAUCGACCCCUUCUGUGCCGCAGCUAACGCAUUAAGUGCCCCGCCUGGGGAGUACGGUCGCAAGACUA
rnacentral:rRNA from 1 species